CUUUUGCAGAACUGUUCUGUAUUAAGUGAGUGCUGGUAUCCCAGUCUCCAGAGAUGCUAAAUCUUACAUAAUCGGUGUCUGAUUAUGUAAUCCCUUUUGUUUACUCGACUAAAAUUCAGUUCAGUGGAGACCUGAUUUGGGGGAAGUUGUUGAAUUGUGAACCUCAGACCAACAUAAUCCAUUGUGUUGAAUUAAGCAAUUCCUCGUAACCGCUCAGGAGAACUGAAGAUCAGCGGGCAUCCUCCGAUACCACCUCCAAGCAAAUUGCCUGGCCAGUAGACAGGGGUGGAAAAAGUAUUCCUCCAGACCUCCAGUCAUUUUAAGUCUGUCGGCUCUGCAGAGGAAGCCAAUACAUUUCUUAGCACCUUGACUCUCUAAAGGAGGUAGCUAUGGACCCAAAGUGCCAGUCAUCUUCCCCUCAGAAACAAACAGUGAAGAAUCGAUCCAAAUCCACUGAGGAGAUCCAGCAAGCAAAGAAGGCUUUCCACACGCCACAGAAGUCCCUGCCAGGCAAAACGGAACUGGAGAAGCUGAAGGAGUCCAGUGAAGUCUUGGAGACAUCAACUUCAACUGAGGAAUUAACUGGAGCAGAAGAGAACUGAAAGACCAAGAGCAAUUGGCUUGGCUACUUUUUCCCCUCAAUGGGUUCAUUAUUUUUCCAGAAACCAAGGAAUCUUUGCAAACUUAUUUCUCUCUUAAUUCAUUCAAAAAGGACCAGGAUACCAUAUUGCAAGUGUGGUGGGAGGGUUUUGCCUUUUUCAUUCUUGCUAUCAUGUUGCAAAUGCAACGCUGAUGCAAUGCCAUUGUAAUGCCAGUUCACCUGUACUGAAUGCACAAACAGUAAAAUGACUUGGUAUUGUUCAUGUGAAGUCUUGCCAUGAGUUGGCUUGAGUGCUUGAAUAGGUGACAUCUUACUAGCCAAGUCUUAUUUUGUGUUGUUGAAUGGGUUUUUCAAACCCUUCAAUAUGCUGUACUUACCUUUUUUUCUUUUUACCCCUUAUCAUUUUAGAGCUAUUUGUAAAGUCUUGGAAGAUAAAACAAGGGCAUAGCUCCAUUUUGCUCUGAAAUACCAUAUUCCUUCGAAUUUAAGAUGCAAUUUUUAAACCAAUUUCUUCUUCUCAAAUAUCCUACGCCUUAAAUUCGAGUAUACAAACAAAAAAUAAUCUGCGAUAACUACAUUUUUUUUUUACAAUUUAAUCAGGCAGUUUUUAUUUUCUUGGCUGGGCAUUUUGAACUCCAUUUCCCAACAUCCCCUGCUGAGAAAGAAUGCGCUCAAGGAGGCUUCCAGCGUCAGUUCGUAUCUGGUUUGUUGUUGCUACACAAACACACACACACACACACACUUCUUACAUUUUCUAUAACGUCCAGAACGAUCCUCAAUGUCUGCAUUUACUACAGUCAAGGCAGACUUUAUUCAUUUUACAACUGUGUUCGUGAAAAGGGAGUUUUUAUGUUUAAAUUGGAUGUACAAAGUUAAUUUUGACGGAGUUGACUGUGUAGUGCAGCAUUAAUUUUUCAUGAUUCCUUCAUUUGGCCUGGCAUGGUUUUCAGGCGAGUAAAUGUCUUUUACUAGUGUCACAAGCUGCGACUAUAAAGUUUAGUUUUAUUGAUGUUACUGUGGUUAAUAUUACAUUACUGUUCAAGUUGUUCAUGUAUACCGAUUCAUAGUAGUUCAUAUUGUUGUGAAGCCCUAAAUAUAAUGUAAAAAAAUAAAGAUUCAUAAGGAGCCAUAAGUGUUAUAUGUAGUAUGUUUGCAUCAAAGACAAAUAAAUAAAUAAAUAAAAAUCCAUUCUCAGUUCUUCUGCAUUAUAUUUUGCCAUUAAACUCUUUC